rnacentral:lncRNA from 1 species
UGUACGUUUGUUCCGAGUUGUCUUCAGGCGGGAUCACUGUCUGUCCGAUCGCUGCGCGUCACUUGUUCCGAUUUCCUCGAACGCGGUUUAUUGAGCCAAUUGCUGCUCCCAAUAAGUUCCGAUUUCGUGUCAGCCAGUCGGAGAGCCGGAUUUGUUCCAUCCUACCCGACAACGUCACGGAAUGAAGACGGCGCGAAGCACAACUUUCCCCUGGAUUUGGCUGCCUUCAUCCGUUACUUGGGUGAAGUCCCUCCAGCCAGGACAGGAGAAACUGGCCCGCCCUCAAAAAUCAGCCUUCUCCUGAGAAACCUACCACCACUUCAGCAGCACUACAAGGCCGCAGACCCUCUGCUGCCCAGCCGCCUCCUCUUCCUGCACUACGGCGCACUCCCUGGACCACAGAGGAACGCAACAGGAGCAGGAGAGGACCCGCUGCCUGGGAAAAACAUUAUUGUACACCUGGAGCAGGUGUGGACAACCAAAGAGGAUGGACACUGGUCAAACUUGCAUCGCAUAUGUGACACACUAUGAAAGUCUGGAGGACUGGAAAGAGGAGCAACAGCUGAAAAGAAAAAAGACAGAGGACUAAAGGUGCCACAAAAGGACCUGCUGAGAUCAUUUCAGUGAUCCUCUUGUUAACACAAGUGAGAGUGUUGACGAGCACGAGGGCUGGAGAUCAUUCUGUCAUGCAGAAAUGAUUGUUCUGCCUCUGUUAACCAUUCUUACCUGCAAGGAAACUCGUGCAGUCAUCAUUGUGUUGCAUAAAAAGGGCUUCACAGGCAAGGAUAUUGCUGCUACUUAGAUUGCACCUAAAUCAAGCAUUUAUCACAUAGACCGUUGCCAGGACUGUCUCCCAAAGAUGAUUGAGCUGAGGGAGUUGGUCAGAAUUUGUUUCUUUGUCAGUUUUUGUUUGUCCACUCGGCUUUUGAGGAAUGACCACAAGUUCCCAGGAUUAAGUUUCCUUGCCAUGCACCAAAAAUUUCAAUGUUUUGUUCCCUGGGCCACUUAGUUAUCACUUUGGCCUUCCAUCGUGCUGUAAAAGGCAUUGUUCUACACCAAACUGUUCUUGGAUGGUUAGUUGCUGUGGGAGGAUGUUUUGGUACCAUUCUUUAUUCAUGGCUGUGUUUUUAGGCAAAUUUGU